GACUAUUGUGACAAGUCCCAAAUUGAGGCUGCGAGACAAGUCCAGGAGAGAAUGAAGACUCAGAAUUCAAACUCCUGAUGUUGUACACUGGCUCAGUCAUUGAUGGUACAAUCCCAAGGGAAAGUUGAUCCUUAAUCAGAGGUGACAGAGAUUGUCUGAGGAUGUGGAUGGUUAUCACGUGACCGUGUCUUGCUCUGUUGCAGGCUGGCAUUGCUGACAUUAAACGAGAGAGAGAGAGAGAGAGAGAGAGAGAGAGAGAGAGAGAGAGAGAGAGAGAGAGAGAGAGAGAGAGAGAGAGAGAGAGAGAGAGAAGCACAAGCACCAGUAACAAUUCAAAGAUCUUAUAUUUAAAGCACCAGGUUAAAGUUUUAUGCCAUUCAAAAGAUGAAUUGUGAACUGUUAGGAUUAAAAUUUGAAACAAUUCAUAACUAUCUUGCUGUAUGUCAUAUUCUAGGCAUUGGGAUAAGUUAAUUUGGUAUCAUAUUGUUCUUUGUUAAAACAAGGUGAGAAUAUAUUAAAUUAUCAUGUAUUAGCCUC
rnacentral:misc_RNA from 1 species